GACAGCUCUUUUGGAUGGCUGCAGCUUGUGGAAGACGGGACGUGCGGAAACGGAGCUCAGGAGCAACAAACACGUGGCUAGAAUGUCCCAUAACUUCAUUUUAGACUCAGUUCCUUUGAGGGAAGCUGCAACGGUGCAAAGGACAGCAAGCAGAUGCUGUGGAGCCUCGGCUCGUGAAGUACGGCGUGUGUUGAUCAGCUGGCAAGUCAAUGGCCGCGCUGUCAUGGAUCAGCCCGUGUCAGAUACUCUGGGUGUGCUGCUUCAGCUGAUAAACGCAGAUAAGAAAUAAGUCCAAAAGCCAAGCCAAUGAAAGGCCUGUCAGCUGAUGAUGAAAGACAGCCUCUUCUGGAAUGGAGCAGUUCAGCUUAUUUUGACUCUUCAUGGAGAAAGCUCCUCUGUUUCAUUAGAGAUGUGGACCUGUGUCUUGUUUUGCUUGUUGGUGGCUUCUUUGAAGUUCUGCUGCUAAUUGCUGCAGUAGAUCAGUGUUGGCAGAUCUCCAGGACGCUGAAUGCUUACAGGAGUCCUGAUGUCCGGCAGCCUGCAUAACCAAUCUAGGAAUGAUGCAGGGAAUUUGAGGGAGCAGCUCCCAAGCGUUUCAUUCCUGUCGGUGGGCUUGCACAAGACAGACGCACUGUAGUUGACUAAGUGCUGGUUCGCAGGCCCUGCGCCAUCUGCAUAAGCCCCGGACAGCACGUCAGCGCGGCCAGUCGCUCUCUGCGGUCAGGCCUGAUUGUGUUUGCAACCCUUUGUGACUCCAGCAGACGUGAACUCAUAACAUGCCAGCGCUUUGUUAUGGUACCUGGGAGCUUUGAGCUGCACCAGCUGCUGCUCAUGACAGCUCCCGCAGGGGCGCGUUGGCCGCUCCAGAGGAGGACUGGUGCUCACCGAGAUCUGCUGACAUUCCAGAUU